GCCCUGAGUGCGCCUGGGUCCUGCCCCCAUGCCGAUGGCACAGCCUGCCCCAAGGCCCCUUCCUGACCAAAGGCCCCCGGGGUUCUCUUGCCCACCAUACUGGUCACCCCAGCUCCACCCAGUUGGAGUGACCCCGAGGCCAGACUGUUCUCCUUGCUCUGCGGGCUCUGCUGGCUCGGCCCCGCUCCCCGCGGCCGGCAGGAUCCUGGCACGCCGCACAGCUGCAGCACCUGAGGCCCCCCUGGACUCUGCUUCACAGGCGCAGCUGGAGAGAGGCUGAGAAACCAUGGGUGUCUCUGAGCCAAGGAACUCAGCAUUCCCCAGGGGACGGCCCCGAGCGUGCCCGCGGCACGUUCCAGCCGCACAGAAGGCUCCAUGCAAAGUGUGUCAGAGUCAGAAACACUGUUUGCGGUUCAGCAAAAUGUGCAGCCUGCACCCACCGCCUGCGCGUCCGCGGGGCUGGCGCCCAGCUGAUUUUUGAGUCUUGGACUUUUGUGCUGUAAGCUCUGCACCAGAACCGGCUCCCGGCGUAAUGGCCCGUCGGCCCAGCCCCGGAGAAGCUGCUGGUUCUCUGCCUUCGUGAG